CGGGGUGAGUAAUGCUUGGGAAUCUAGCUUAUGGAGGGGGAUAACUACGGGAAACUGUAGCUAAUACCGCGUAGUAUCGAGAGAUGAAAGUGUGGGACCUUCGGGCCACAUGCCAUAGGAUGAGCCCAAGUGGGAUUAGGUAGUUGGUGAGGUAAAGGCUCACCAAGCCGACGAUCUCUAGCUGGUCUGAGAGGGUGACCAGCCACACUGGGACUGAGACACGGCCCAG
rnacentral:rRNA from 1 species